rnacentral:ncRNA from 1 species
GUAUUUCGUUUACGAACGAGAUUUAAUAGGGAAGAGAGAAAUCGGAAAAACCGAGUUGCUCCGCUGCCCCCGCAGCCGUAAGAACGACCGCCUUAUUGCACUGUGAUUUUGAGUGAUUUCAUGGGAAGGAGUAGGGCAGGUAUGCGUUGAACGCAUAUCAGGGCGUUGUAAGCCGGAAGACCUGCCCCGUGUGG